rnacentral:lncRNA from 1 species
UGAUUUUUGGCCUCACCCUGAGAGACACUGAAUUGGUAAAUAAAUUACAUAUGAAGAUGGAUUUCUAUUUUUAAACUUUUUAGCAGCAAGAUUUCAAAUUUAUUGAUAAUGGAACUACUGAGAUGGCUCCUCUGGAUGAAGAGCAUCUUUUGAAGCAGAAUUCGGAUGUCUCAUUUGGGGAAGUUGACUUUGGGGGCUGUGUUUUGCUUCAUUGGAAAUAUCUAGCACGUCUGGGUGAGGCCACGGAACCAGAUGGAGCCAGAAGGGGAGAGCAUGUAGAGUGAAAAACAGAAGCCAGUGCAAAACCAAGAAGAAUACUUCAGGAUCAAGCUAGUAUCCCAGAUGGAUUGAUCCAUGAUAUCAAGAAUAUUGCCAGGAUAGACCAAUAUAACUUUAAACGAUGGGGACCAAUUGAAAAAACAGUGAAAGAACAUAUCUCAUUUCAGAAAAUAGAUGUUUCUCUCUCAUGGCUUGUAUAAAUAAAAUUUUACAACCUACCAAACCACAGGAGUACCUGGUAUAAAGUCAGCAUUCAAUACUUAUUGAAUGAGUGAAAGGAUGCAUAAAUUAAUCAAGAAUGAAUGGUUGUUGAUCCUUGAUUGUGGAACUAAUAUCAUCAGGUGUAUGACAUCUCUUGACAACAUAAAACUUUCAAGAAGCUUCUCUUCAGAGAGACACCGUUUGUUGAGCAACAUUUCAGUGUUUGGUGCUCUAUAGAUGUCUUCUCAUUGAAUCCCCAGGAUGCACUUACAAGGUUGACAUGCUUAUCUCCCUUCUAGAGAGAGAAUCAGAGGUUCUUGGAAGUUAAUUAGUUUGUACCUUGUCCUACAGACUGCAAAUGAAAGGAGAGAGACUAAAGAGAAGGAAAGUUUCCUUUUAUUCUGACAAUUGAAAAGGUCCAAUAAGUGGCAUCUUGCUUUGUGAGGUGGGGAAACUCUUCCCAUUGAAAGGUGUGUUGGAUGACAAUGUCUUGCGUGCUUUUGAAGAAAUUCACGUGUUUGUCAGCUUAUUGCAGUGGCUGAUCUCUGAGACUUCUCCAACGGGAAGAUUUUUUGACUCAAU